ACGGAGGGUGCAAGCGUUAUUCGGAAUUAUUGGGCGUAAAGGGCGUGCAGGCGGGCGAGCAAGUCCGACGUGAAAGUCCGGGGCUUAAACCCGGAAGGGCGUUGGAAACUGCUUUUCUUGAGUUCUGGAGAGGAAGGGAGAAUUCCCGGUGUAGAGGUGAAAUGCGUAGAGAUCGGGAGGAACAUCAGUGGCGAAGGCGCCCUACUGGACUGCAACUGACGCUGAGACGCGAAAGUGUGGGGAGCAAACAG
rnacentral:rRNA from 1 species